UACGUAGGGUGCGAGCGUUGUCCGGAAUUAUUGGGCGUAAAGAGCUCGUAGGCGGUUUGUCGCGUCGACUGUGAAAACCCGAGGCUUAACCUCGGGCCUGCAGUCGAUACGGGCAGACUAGAGUUCGGUAGGGGAGACUGGAGUUCCUGGUGUAGCGGUGAAAUGCGCAGAUAUCAGGAGGAACACCGGUGGCGAAGGCGGGUCUCUGGGCCGAUACUGACGCUGAGGAGCGAAAGCGUGGGGAGCGAACAGG
rnacentral:rRNA from 1 species